rnacentral:tRNA from 1 species
UAAUUAACUAAUUGGCAGAAAAAUGCAUUAGAAUUAGAAUCUAAUCAAACUUUA